CUUGAUCGAGCCGAGCAGCAGCGGCCGGCCCUCCGGCCGGUCCUGGCCGUACGUCGCGAGGAGCGCCUGCGCCUC
rfam:Streptomyces sp. Mg1, complete genome.